GACUUAGAUACACAAUAACACACACUCACACAUACAGAAGCUAAUAAUAGAAGCAUCAGCCACCUACCAUUUUGCCCUUUGUUCUCUGUUGUUCUCGCCUACCCUGGUGUGUCUUGUAUGUCCCCGACUCGUCUCUGGAUGUGUGUGUGUCUCCUGGUCUGGCCCCAUGGUUUCCCACCUGCUGCUGAUCACCGCCACACCUGUCUCCAAUCAUCCAUCAGUCUCCACAGCUUAAAUACCAGGCUCUCCCACAACACCAACACGUCUCUGUACAAUUGUACGACCACUAUGGCAAGGGUUAUCCUAUGCUGGUGAUCACAGUUCCUGUCUUUGUCUGGAUUCCUGUCUGCCUGCUUGUCUGUCUCUCCAGCCACUCCACCAUGGAGCCAGACCCUUUGCAUCCAUCCUGCUCCAUGAUCUUGGUUCCGUUGACGGUCAGUCUCCACACCUCAUGACCAGCCCAGGUCUACACGGUAUCACCUACACUUCACCUCAUGGACUAGUCUGCCUGUCCAGAUCCACGUGGCAUAUAAACAGUCAGACGGGUGACCGCUGCUUCAGUCUCCACGCCGGAACCAUUGCUACUUCCCCGGAGUUAUCAAGUACGACGGCGAAGGCUUCGCUCUGAAGAAUUACGCUCCUUCCCAUUAUUCCUGGUGACUUUCUAAUAAAAUGAAUUGGUUGUAAAGACUACUAGUGAAUUCUGCAUUUGGGGAUUCGAAAGAUCGUACAAUACAACAGAUUUUAGUGUUUUUAAAGAACUAAACAUUAUCUCUCCAGUAAUCAGCAUGUAAUUCAUCAUCAUUUACAAGGUAAUCAUUAUUCCUGCUUCCACUUAAAAACAAAACAAAACAAAACUCCCUACCAGCACCUCCUAGAGACAAUUUAUUAAAUUAUCUGUGUUUAAGCCAUACAAAACCAAAGUGGAAAAAAUGGCUAGCUAUUUUCCCUGUUUUUAGUCUUUAUGCUAAGCUAACUGUCUCCUGGCUACACCCUCCAAUUUUACGACAUAUGUGAAAGUGGUACCAGUCUUAUUUUUCUCUCAGCAAGAAACUGAAUAAACG